rnacentral:pre_miRNA from 1 species
GCUUCGCGGUCUCUAAUUCGCUUGGUGCAGGUCGGGAACCGCUGCUGCUUCUGCCGUUUUCGCGCGUAAUCACUCACCGGAGGAGCGGUUACCGCCGCCGGUUGGAUCGGAUCCCGCCUUGCAUCAACUGAAUCGGAACCCGCCUUGAAGC